AUGGCUGGGGCGGAAUCGGCCGGCCUGCGGCGCGGGGCGGGGGCGCGGAGGAAGGCGAAGGAGGCAGCGGUGGGCGCCGCCGCGAGGGCGCUCUUCUACCCGACGCUGCUCUACAACGUGGUGAGGAGCAAGGUCCAGGCCGAGUUCCGGUGGUGGGACGAGGUCGAUCAGUUCAUUUUGCUUGGAGCUGUUCCAUUCCGUAGGGAUGUUACACGCUUGCAGAAGCUUGGAGUACAUGGCGUUGUAACCCUGAAUGAACCAUUUGAGACUUUAGUACCAUCAUCAGUAUAUAAGUCGCGUGGGAUUGAUCACCUUGUUAUUCCUACAAGAGAUUACAUGUUUGCUCCAUCACUUGUGGAUAUUAGUCAAGCUGUUGAUUUCAUUCAUAGAAACGCAUCUCGUGGGAGGAUGACAUAUAUUCACUGCAAAGCUGGAAGGGGACGGAGUACAACGAUUGUCUUGUGCUAUCUGGUGAAGUACAAGAAUAUGACACCUACCACAGCAUUUGAGCAUGUGAGAUCUAAAAGGGCUAGAGUGCUGCUGACCCGUUCCCAGAGGAAGGUGGUUCAAGAAUUCAGUACGAAGGUGGCUGGAACAGCAGCAGCAACAUCAUCAUCUCCAUCAGGGGAUGCGGUACCGCAAACUGAAGAUGGCUCUGGUUUGCCAGGCGUUAUCAGGGAGGAUGCCAGCUCGCCUUCUCACAAGGCCACCCCAUCAGGGCCAAUGAUGAAGAAGAUGCUGGCAUGCCUGCUUCCUUCCCCGAUGCGAUCUGGCGGCGACUCGCCGUCGCAUGCCGACCUGCGGGCACCCUAG
rnacentral:rRNA from 1 species